UUAUUGAUGUUGUUGUUGCU
rnacentral:miRNA from 1 species